rnacentral:rRNA from 1 species
GCGAACGCUGGCGGCAGGCCUAACACAUGCAAGUCGAACGGAUCCUUCGGGAUUAGUGGCAGACGGGUGAGUAACACGUGGGAACGUGCCCUUCGGUUCGGAAUAACUCAGGGAAACUUGAGCUAAUACCGGAUACGCCCUUUUGGGGAAAGGUUUACUGCCGAAGGAUCGGCCCGCGUCUGAUUAGCUUGUUGGUGGGGUAACGGCCUACCAAGGCGACGAUCAGUAGCUGGUCUGAGAGGAUGAUCAGUCACACUGGAACUGAGACACGGUCCAGACUCCUACGGGAGGCAGCAGUGGGGAAUAUUGGACAAUGGGCGAAAGCCUGAUCCAGCCAUGCCGCGUGUGUGAAGAAGGUCUUCGGAU